rnacentral:rRNA from 1 species
AGAGCGAACGCUGGCGGCAGGCUUAACACAUGCAAGUCGAACGGACCCUUCGGGGUUAGUGGCGGACGGGUGAGUAACACGUGGGAACGUGCCUUUUGGUUCGGAACAACACAGGGAAACUUGUGCUAAUACCGGAUGUGCCCUUCGGGGGAAAGAUUUAUCGCCAUUAGAGCGGCCCGCGUCUGAUUAGCUAGUUGGUGGGGUAAAGGCCUACCAAGGCUACGAUCAGUAGCUGGUCUGAGAGGAUGACCAGCCACAUUGGGACUGAGACACGGCCCAAACUCCUACGGGAGGCAGCAGUGGGGAAUCUUGCGCAAUGGGCGAAAGCCUGACGCAGCCAUGCCGCGUGAAUGAUGAAGGUCUUAGGAUUGUAAAAUUCUUUCACCGGGGACGAUAAUGACGGUACCCGGAGAAGAAGCCCCGGCUAACUUCGUGCCAGCAGCCGC